UGCUGGAUAUCAGUGGCUUCGGAGAAUUUGGAGUCACUAUAGCGGGAUGUUAGUUAGUGUGACCAUGUUUGAUAAAGCCAUCGUAGGCUGGCUGUUCCCUGAGUGAAGGUACUUCCAUAUCCAACUCACCUACAGCUAAAGAAAUCGAAAAAACACUAGUGAAAGGUGCAGAGCCAGCCUGCCAAACCAAGCCCGUAUGGCGCUGCCAGUCACACGAUUUAACCUGGUUCCUCAAUAUCAAUAUCAAGCAGCUAAAAGGGGCAGGAUUCGGCUAGUCACUAAAUGAAAUGAUUUGGGAUAAGGUGGAACAGCAGCAACAUCUCAAUAACAGCCCUUAAGAAGAAAGAGGAUACAGUGUUGACGUUAACUGCUGGCAACAGUUUUUUAGGACUUCUGCUGAUUGGAACAGACUGAGGUCUGAUGAUGUCCCUGGUGUCUACACAAGAAGUAAUUUGCACCAAUGGAUUUAUCCAUGGAAAAAUUAAAGACCUUUCUGGGAGAAAAAUAACUGAGAUGAACUUCUGAAGGUCUCCAGAGACUGGUGCAUGAUGAGAGGCAGCGAGGACGUUCACAUUGAGAUGGCUUCAAUAAAAAAGGGACCAAUGUUUGACCCGUUUACUAAAGCUGACUGACAUGGGAGGUUUUGCAUCCAACCUGGUGAUAUAGGUCCUGAGAGGUGUAGUAGACUUCCAAGAUGACAACGCUGGGGGCUCUUCUGCCACACAGGUGGCAGCGGCCAGACGAACCUGUCUCUGGUGGCAGAGGAAGCACAUGCAUUACAUUGUCCCUCUUCAAGAACAAAUUUAGGCUACACCCCUACACUGAUUAAGCUGUGGACAGGCCACAGAUUGGUGAAGGGACGUCUGAUGGCAUCAGGCCCCAGAGUGCAGUGGACGAGAGCAUGGUAUUCC